GUGAAAGCAAUUUUGGAAUUUAUUAAACUUGCCACCGUGGUGAGGCGAUGAACAAGUACAUCACAUCAUCAAAGCACCGUAAUAAGAGCAUUAAAGAGUGCAAGUGACCGUAUAACUUAUUUUUAUGUGCUUAACUUGUGAAAGCAUUAUUCGUAUGGUGUUAAGCCAGUCCCAAGUGCUUAUGAAAUAUGCAUACAAUCAUUUAUUUGAUUUAGGAUUUGCCAUUUAGCAUUACUGUCGGUUUUGGAAUAUUUUUUUCUGUACAUUUUUUCUGCAAUGCAAUUUGGAUUCUGCACUAAAAAAAAUACAUUUUCUCCUUCUCCGCAAAAUCCCAGUUGGUUGCCGGGUGACGAUUGGUCACACGGCAGAGUCGAACGGCUCGUUGGCCCUGAUACGCUUCACCCAUCCUUGGGUGAUCCACCAACCUCGGACACCGAAAAGCACGCUACGCGAACACCGCAUUUUAUACGAAGGAGUACGAUGGAUGACAGCAGCACUGGACGCAGGAUGGCGAUGGCUGUUUGGAGGCCUUCAUUCAGCAGUGGAUAGACAAUGAUGAUGACGGUGGAAGAUUAGAUGGCGAGCCUUCAUCGCAGGACCGGUGGCUUGGCGAGGCCUUCAUCCAGCAGUGGACAGAUCAUGGCUGAUGAAAAAAUGGUGAAUGCAAGCACAAACAAACUAAACGAAGCAACGUCUCCUGUGGACCCAAGCAACUCCAGGGGCCUCAACUGCACGGAAGAAUAACGACGCACCAAACAAAUAUCUCAAAUUCGGCUCCUCGUCAACAUAGCCACACAGCAUUACUCACAACCUCCUGGAUUUACCCCCCCCGCCCCCCCCAAGCCAGGAUAUUUUGUUCCAGAGCUCAGUCCUGAACAGCUCCGGGUGACAUUUGACAUUAGGCCCUGGUGACCACCGCUCACACGAACAGGGCGUCAUAGCGUCUGCGUGGCUGUGUGGUGGGCAGCAGAGGGGCAGCGAAAGCAACGUCUAUUGUUGCACGCCCAUGCCACUUGCUCUCGCCGACUCACGCAGACCAGCGCGGUGAAGUAUGGUGAAAUUACCUCCCACGCCACGGCUCUUAUGGCACAGGGUGGAAGUGGGUAGGGAGGCCUUCAUCCAGCAGCGGAUUGGUUAAUGGGCUGCACGUGAGCUCGAGGGGCGCCGCGUCACAAAUGCGAGGCAGAUUCCCCAGCAGACAGACCUCAAGCGUGGCGUCUGCAGACCACCAGACCACACACCGUAUGAAAUCUCAGCUGGCAAAAAAAAACCGAAAUUCAAUUCGUGGAAUAAAAUGAACAAAACGUGGGAUGGGCAGAAAUGUGUGUUGGGGUUUGGAGGCUAUGAAGAGGCAAGCGCACUUUGUUCGUAGACAGUACAUUCAUUCAAUCGAUGUUGCGUCAAAAAAACAAGAAGAGUGGUCGAGGCGCCGCCCUGCAAUGGCCUCGCGCGCGACACCGCUGGCCGAAGGGCCUCCACGAGGGGGAGCACUCGAGGGCGUUUUGGCCUACUCCUCCUUGCUGGCCAGGCAUCUUGGGUGUGCUGGGGCAACCGGCACCUUUCUCAGAAAUCGCGCCGCAACCUGCCAAAACCCUGGUCAACGACCUGUCGUGGAGCCAUGCUCGCACCUGUUGGGUGGACACUGGCGGCGAGGUCGUAGAAACUGGCACGGUAAAGUCACUUACGUGGCUUACGUGACUUUACCGAAAUAACCAAAGAGUAUGGCACCGUUGUUUCAACCGCCACUCCGGGAGACGGAAUUAAAUCGGGCGACCUCCGGAUUGUAAGUGAAAAGUGCUAACCGCAACAACAACAAGAACAAUUAAAAAGAAAUCCAACAAAGUGAUUUCCAACUCCGAUAAGCAUCGAAGGGGUUGCUCGUCACAGUCCCGAGGCAGCGGUGGAAGUCCCACAUUGCUAUGGCAGGAGAGAGACUCUCAAAACGGCAACCGACGUUGACUUCCCCCCACAGCGGUACUCUUUUUUUUAUGAUGGUCUGAGUUAAACCCCCACCCCGCCUCCCCCCAAUCAGGCUUUGACCUCGCAACCUUCCGAUUGCUGGGGCCACCCGUGCCGGAUAAUCCAACACACGGGGGGGGGGGGGGGGGCGCAUAACCCCCCCCCCACCCAUGUGGCGUGCGUUCAUCGUUUUCUUUUACCUGAUGCCUGAUGCCCUCUCUCAUCCCAGCUGCCAUCGUCUCUUUGCUGGAGGACCUCGCGAGGGAGCGGCCGUGCGGCCCUUUUCCAGGGCGCCUCCGACUCCGACCAACCCAAUUACCCGCCGCCGUUAAAAUAUUUAACAGCGCGGACGAUGCGAGAUGUUAUUUGAUUUUCGCGGCGUUCAUUUAGCAUCGCCCGUGGGCCCCCCGAAUCGUAUGAGGAAUCCAAUUUGCUGUCAGUCGCGUCUGAUACAAGCCCAUGGUAAUUUAGCCUCAACCUUUUAACCCUGUUAUUUCCACAGACAAAAGCGCUGCUAUUGGAUUACGGCGCGUCGCCCCCUUUGUCUUUCCCAAAAGAAGUCCCGUGGAUGCGCCUCCACUGCCAACGGGUGCAUCAUCGCGCGGGCCAAUUCAGUGAGGGGCGGCCGUCAUUAAAUGUUCAUUUGUGUGCCGCAUUCGUCUUGCGCGUUGCCAAUAUUUUCAGGAGGCAAAUGCCAAUGUCGAGGUCUGCCCGCCGCGAGAGUGUCUCCGGAGAGAGUCCGGUGCGGUUGUGCUGUUACCUCCCCCGUUUGAGGCAAGCGCAGCCUUCUGUGGUUUACAGUAUCGUCCGCAGUUUGCGGUUAUAUGGCCACAAUCGCUCUGCCGUGGUUUGCCUUUAAUUGUUCAUUAAUGAAGGAGAUGCGCGCGCGUUUGCAGGUGGAAUUGCGUUGCCAUUGUCACAGCGCACGGUUUUCGCGAAGGAGCUCGUCGCGAAGUACUUCAGAGGUGGAUGUGAUUUGCCAAAAGGAGGAAACUGGGUCCAGCGUGGUUUUGUCCAACAGAGGAAGCUUUUCGUGGGGUAAUUUUUCAUACUUAGAAAAUUUGGAGCAUGACGUCGGCACAUAUGGCGGCCUCUUCUUUUUCGAAUAAACCCAAUGGGAUAUUUAACAUCCACUCCGAAGCAGAUGGUGAUUGUGUAUAUAUUUUUUUGGGAUGUACAUUCGUAGGAUUAACCGAGGCGGCCACUGGUCUCGAGCCGUGAACCUCUGCAAACCGCGCAGCCGCUUGGUUAUUAAAAGGUUAAUUUGAUAAACUCUAUAUUUGUUUUACCAGGUAAGGCCCCACUGAGCUGUGUAGCUCUUUUUUCAGAAGCGACCUGGUCAUCACAAAUGACAGCUCAAAGAAGUGGCUUCUCAUUGUGUGGAAAUGUUUAGCAGCCAAAUACACCAUAACGUAUGAUGUUGAUUCUAAAUGUGGAGGGAAAAACCGGAAGAGCCGAAUAAAACUUCACACGACCACGGGGAGAAAGAGAGAGACAUAAAAAAAACUCAAAAUAUACAGCAGCAGGCGUCAGGGGUCGGGAUCGAGCCCACGACCCCCUGUCUACCAGGCGAGGUAGUUGAGGUAGUUGACAUCUCCCCAGCUGAACCUGUGCAGCUCGGAUGGCAGAAUAUUGUUUCCAGGACUUGAUAUUUGCUGUUACAAGCCAUGUCAGCCAAAGCAAACCUCUUGGUUAUGCAUGCCAGAGGCAGCCAUU